GACGAACGCUGGCGGCGUGCCUAAUACAUGCAAGUUGAGCGCUGAAGGUUGGUACUUGUACCGACUGGAUGAGCAGCGAACGGGUGAGUAACGCGUGGGGAAUCUGCCUUUGAGCGGGGGACAACAUUUGGAAACGAAUGCUAAUACCGCAUAAAAACUUUAAACACAAGUUUUAAGUUUGAAAGAUGCAAUUGCAUCACUCAAAGAUGAUCCCGCGUUGUAUUAGCUAGUUGGUGAGGUAAAGGCUCACCAAGGCGAUGAUACAUAGCCGACCUGAGAGGGUGGUCGGCCACAUUGGGACUGAGACACGGCCCAAACUCCUACGGGAGGCAGCAGUAGGGAAUCUUCGGCAAUGGACGAAAGUCUGACCGAGCAACGCCGCGUGAGUGAAGAAGGUUUUCGGAUCGUAAAACUCUGUUGGUAGAGAAGAACGUUGGUGAGAGUGGAAAGCUCAGCAAGUGACGGUAACUACCCAGAAAGGGACGGCUAACUACGUG
rnacentral:rRNA from 1 species